UACGGGGGGCGCAAGCGUUGUUCGGAUUUACUGGGCGUAAAGGGCGCGUAGGCGGCCACCGCAAGUCGGUUGUGAAAUCUCUGGGCUUAACCCAGAAAGGUCAACCGAUACUGCGGGGCUAGAGUGCAGAAGGGGCAACUGGAAUUCUCGGUGUAGCGGUGAAAUGCGUAGAUAUCGAGAGGAACACCUGCGGCGAAGGCGGGUUGCUGGGCUGACACUGACGCUGAUGCGCGAAAGCUAGGGGAGCGAACGGG
rnacentral:rRNA from 1 species